rnacentral:rRNA from 1 species
GUGGGGAAUAUUGGACAAUGGGCGCAAGCCUGAUCCAGCAAUGCCGCGUGAGUGAUGAAGGCCUUAGGGUUGUAAAGCUCUUUUACCCGGGAAGAUAAUGACUGUACCGGGAGAAUAAGCCCCGGCUAACUCCGUGCCAGCAGCCGCGGUAAUACGGAGGGGGCUAGCGUUGUUCGGAAUUACUGGGCGUAAAGCGCACGUAGGCGGCUUUGUAAGUUAGAGGUGAAAGCCUGGUGCUCAACAUCUGAAUUGCCUUUGAUACUGCAUGGCUUGAAUCCGGGAGAGGUGAGUGGAAUUCCGAGUGUAGAGGUGAAAUUCGUAGAUAUUCGGAAGAACACCAGUGGCGAAGGCGGCUCACUGGACCGGCAUUGACGCUGAGGUGCGAAAGCGUGGGGAGCAAACAGG